GACGAACGCUGGCGGCGUGCUUAACACAUGCAAGUCGAACGGAGUGGCGAACGGGUGAGUAACACGUGGGUGAUCUGCCUUGCACUUCGGGAUAAGCUUGGGAAACUGGGUCUAAUACCGGAUAGUGCAAGAUGAGCUCGCGGCCUAUCAGAUUGUGGGUGGGGUAAUGGCCUACCAAGGCGUCGACGGGUAGCCGGCCUGAGAGGGUGUACGGCCACAUUGGGACUGAGAUAGGGCCCAGACUCGUACGGGGGGCAGCGGUGGGGAAUUUUGCACAAUGGGCGGAAGCCUGAAGCAGCGACGCCGCGUGGGGGAUGAAGGUCGUCGGGUUGUAAACUCUGUUCGACUGGAACGCGGUACCUGUAUAAGAAGCACCGGCUAACUACGUGCCAGCAGCCGCGGUAAUAC
rnacentral:rRNA from 1 species